GCAAGCGCCUAGAGCUUUCGCCCACUCAGCCCCCGCUAACGUAUAGGAAGAGCGCCGCAUUAUGGCGACCGGGCGGGGGCUGAGUGGGCGAAAGCUCUAGGCGCUUGC